AGGGACGUAGCUCAGCCUGGCAGAGCAUCGGCCUGUGGAGCCGACCGUCGCGGGUUCAAAUCCCGUCGUCCCUCCCA
rnacentral:tRNA from 1 species